AUGGCGGAGUUUGGCGGCGCUGAGGCGGCGGCGGAAACCGAUGAUGCGGAGGGUGAGGCGAGCCCCCGGCGUGGGCGUGGAGUAGCGCCGACGACAGAGAUCGGACCGGCAGCAGGCGAGGUAGCUCCGACCAACUACGCAAGCAGGGGCUUAGACAGCAGCGGAGGCAGCAGGUUGAUGUGCUCGAGUCGAUGCGUGCGAGAGAGAGAGAAAGAAGAAAGGGAACGCGAGCUUGCUGUCGAGGCGUGGAUGCAGACGCGGGCCUGGCUCCCGGAUACGCUCGAUUCCUGCGUUCCCCUCAGCCUGGCUGAGAGGGCUCUUUUGCAUGGGUCGGGCCAGGCCGAGGAGGCCACACAGGUAACCAAUCAUGCUGGUUUUGCAUCGCGGGUGCGAGUCACAUGCGAGCCAGUCAUCCAAACGCGCCCAUACGAUUGCGUGUCCCUUGGCUUCGCGAGGGAGAGCGCAAUACGACCUAAUUUCAAGCGCAGGCUAAGCAACGCCAACGCAUCGACAAGAUCGCCAACUUACAGCGGUCCGAUGUCUUAUCCCAACACACCGGCGGCGCUCAAAGCAAGUCUGAAACAACUUCUGAAUGUCCAUUCUGAAGCUUUUUCAGAACGCUACCUCGGUCUACCUACUGCAAUUGGAAGGAUUUCUAGUGGAACGUUUGAGCAUAUUGCUAAUCGUGCCAAGGACGUGCUCUCCACUGGAUUGCAUGGCAUAAACUUGCUACACCAAAAAUCAAAGGGGGGGAUGGGCUUCCGCGACCUCCGACAGUUCAACAUUGCCCUUCUUGGGAAACAUGGCUGGAGGUUCAUGACGAAAUCGGACUCACUUUGCACCAGAGUUAUGAAGGGAAGGUACUUUCCUGAUUGUGAUUUUAUGCAGGACACAAUACCAAAGUCAGCUUCUGCUACUUGGAGGGCGAUCGUUGUGGGUCGUCAAGAUCUUAAUGCGGGCCUUGUUAAGAGAAUCGAUGAUGGCACUACUACCUCGGUGUGGGAGGACCGAUGGCUGCCGUCGACUGUAUCCAUGAAGCCAUUACUCAGACUGCCAAACACGCCGAUCACCAUGAAAGAGCGUGCAGCUCUAGAAGAAGGGCAGAUAGCGGGGCCAUUAGCGAAUGAACAACAGAUGUGGAGUGCCAUAUGGAAGCUCAAAGUAGUUCCCAAGUGCACCGUUCUCAUGCCAGGAGUUUUUAGGAGGAGGCCAGAUUGCUCUUUGACAUUUCCCUGCAACGGCUCCACCCCAGCACUUGGACACGCGACAUACUCUAUGAGCAACGCUUUUAAGAGAAGGAUCGUGCCAUUAUUAUCACGGUCAUGUGGGCUAUCUGGAUGUCUCAUAACAGGAGGACACAUGAUCAAGAUAUCAUCGACCCAGCUACUUCGGUUCGGCGCAUCCAUGAGGACCUGGCGUUGCUGGACAUUCCACGGCAGAGCUUCAUACCACUGUUGGUCCACGUGGCGUCGCCCGCUCUUCAUCGACUUUCCUGGGUGCAUGGUGCAAACCCCACUAGGGGUCACAGAUCCUUUCAUCGCCGAAGUACUCUCUCUUCGGGAGGGCGCCAUCUUUAUCAAGCUUCGAGGAUACACGCACGUGCAACUGGAAACCGACUGUCUAGAGGCGGUAAACCUCUGGAACUCUAGCUACACUAAUCGUUCGGUAGUAGCACCAAUUAUGUCUGAAAUUAGAGAGCUCUCUGCUAGUUUUUUAUCCUUUGAAAAAAAACUUGGAAAAGCGCACUGUGCACUUUGGCCCAACAAGUGCACAGGCUGGCCCGGCCCACCUAAGCCGGCCUUUUUCUUCUUCCUCCUACUACGGGGAUGGCCGAGCACGCCAUGGCCGCACAUGUCGCCGGAUGGCCACGUGCAGGGCAUCCGGUGUCUCCCGGCCGUGGCCAAUGCCUACUUGACCUCGUCGACCCCCCCCCCCCCGGCGAACCCUAGCCUCCACUCACCCUCUCCUUCGCUCGCCCUCCUCUCUCCCGUGCGCAACAGAGUCACCGCCGCCAUGUUCACGCGCACCGCGCCCGUCACUCGCACCGGCCACGCCCCUCGUGCGUUUCCCCCCACCACACUGGCCCGCGCGCUGGUUCGCCUCAGCGCACCUCGUGGCGUCCCGCUACCUGCCGCCGCCCGUCCGCUAUCACUGCUGCUCCCUGGGUUGCCGUUGCCGCUAGCCCGCAUCCCCCCGCGCUCGUGUGCUGCUCAUCUACUAGCUGCUGCUGCAUCUGCUGCCAACCGCGGCCGUGCCAGCCAUGUCUUGCGCCGUCCGUGCCUCUGGCCGCAUCAGCCUGCAGCCGCCCACGGCUGCUGCGGCCGCUACUACUCCGCCGACGCCAUUGCACUUUCCCUGCUACUGCUCGUCACCGCCUCGGCCGCGUCCGUCGGCUGGCUGCGCCCACCAGGGCAGCCACCGCCGGAGCUUCCCGCCGUGGCCGUCGGCCCUUUUCUGAGAGGCCACGGGUGUGCCCGGCCUCUGAGACCGGCCCUCGUUUAG
rnacentral:rRNA from 1 species